UUACGAGAGUUUGAUCCUGGCUCAGGAUGAACGCUGGCGGCGUGCCUAACACAUGCAAGUCGAGCGAAGCGCUGUUUUCAGAAUCUUCGGAGGAAGAGGACAGUGACUGAGCGGCGGACGGGUGAGUAACGCGUGGGCAACCUGCCUCAUACAGGGGGAUAACAGUUAGAAAUG
rnacentral:rRNA from 1 species